AGACCACCAGCUAAGGUCCCAAAAUAUAUGUUAAGUGGAAAAGGAUGUGGCGUUGCCCAGACAACUAGGAUGUUGGCUUAGAAGCAGCCAUCAUUUAAAGAGUGCGUAAUAGCUCACUAGUCGAGUGACACUGCGCCGAAAAUGUACCGGGGCUAAACAUAUUACCGAAGCUGUGGAUUGUCCUUUGGACAAUGGUAGGAGAGCGUUCUAAGGGCGUUGAAGCAUGAUCGUAAGGACAUGUGGAGCGCUUAGAAGUGAGAAUGCCGGUGUGAGUAGCGAAAGACGGGUGAGAAUCCCGUCCACCGAUUGACUAAGGUUUCCAGAGGAAGGCUCGUCCGCUCUGGGUUAGUCGGGUCCUAAGCUGAGGCCGACAGGCGUAGGCGAUGGAUAACAGGUUGAUAUUCCUGUACCACCUAUAAUCGUUUUAAUCGAUGGGGGGACGCAGUAGGAUAGGCGAAGCGUGCGAUUGGAUUGCACGUCUAAGCAGUAAGGCUGAGUAUUAGGCAAAUCCGGUACUCGUUAAGGCUGAGCUGUGAUGGGGAGAAGACAUUGUGUCUUCGAGUCGUUGAUUUCACACUGCCGAGAAAAGCCUCUAGAUAGAAAAUAGGUGCCCGUACCGCAAACCGACACAGGUAGUCAAGAUGAGAAUUCUAAGGUGAGCGAGCGAACUCUCGUUAAGGAACUCGGCAAAAUGACCCCGUAACUUCGGGAGAAGGGGUGCUCUUUAGGGUUAACGCCCAGAAGAGCCGCAGUGAAUAGGCCCAAGCGACUGUUUAUCAAAAACACAGGUCUCUGCUAAACCGUAAGGUGAUGUAUAGGGGCUGACGCCUGCCCGGUGCUGGAAGGUUAAGAGGAGUGGUUAGCUUCUGCGAAGCUACGAAUCGAAGCCCCAGUAAACGGCGGCCGUAACUAUAACGGUCCUAAGGUAGCGAAAUUCCUUGUCGGGUAAGUUCCGACCCGCACGAAAGGCGUAACGAUUUGGGCACUGUCUCAACGAGAGACUCGGUGAAAUCAUAGUACCUGUGAAGAUGCAGGUUACCCGCGACAGGACGGAAAGACCCCGUGGAGCUUUACUGUAGCCUGAUAUUGAAAUUCGGCACAGCUUGUACAGGAUAGGUAGGAGCCUUUGAAACGUGAGCGCUAGCUUACGUGGAGGCGCUGGUGGGAUACUACCCUAGCUGUGUUGGCUUUCUAACCCGCACCACUUAUCGUGGUGGGAGACAGUGUCAGGCGGGCAGUUUGACUGGGGCGGUCGCCUCCUAAAAGG
rnacentral:rRNA from 1 species